rnacentral:rRNA from 1 species
AAUCCCCGGCUCUUGGGGUCGUGGGAAAUGUGGCGUUUGGGAGUGAGCGUGCCGGGCGCGCGCCGGACGGCAAGUCCCCCUGACCGGGGCCUAUCCAGAGCGGGUGCGAGGCCCAUAGCCGUCUGGCGCGUCCCGGAUGCGAUCUCCCGGGAGUCGGGUUGCUUGGGAGUGCAGCCCUAAGCGGGUGGUAAACUCCACCUAAGGCUAAAUACCGCCGUGAGACCGAUAGCAAACAAGUACCGUGAGGGAAAGUUGCAAAGAACUUUGAAGAGAGAGUUCAAGAGUACGUGAAACUGCUCAGAGGUAAACAGGUGGGCCCUCGAAAUCCUGUGGCGGGAGGAUUCAGUCCGCGGCCGCGGAGGCGUUUGGUCGGAAAGCUCGAGGCAGGGCAUCCCGGGAACCGGGGCCGUCCGACCGCGUCGUUUCGCGGACCGCGGACGCAUUUGUCUCCCGUCCUGAGGACGCAGCAGCCGGUCGGGCAGCGGAACGCACGACGGCCUGGGAGGCGGGGGACGGCAGGUGGCCGGUGGCGACCCUCCGGGGGAGCCGCCGGUUGUUAGCCGCCCCGCCGGUGGCGCGUCGCCCGACCGAGGCACACGGGCCCUUCGCGGGCCCCUUCCCGCCCCCAAACACGCGGUGAGGGCAGCUGGAUGGUGAUGGCCGCGGACGCCGCACGCGCGGACGCGUGGGCGACCGGGCCGCGCCGCCGCAGGCAGGCGCUCGUCCCGCCGGGGGCAGGAGGCUCGCUGCGAGUAGGUCGGUCACCCACCUGGCCCGUCUUGAAACACGGACCAAGGAGUCUAACAUGUGCGCGAGUCAGUGGGUCUUGGACAGGCCCAGAGGCGCAAUGAAAGCGAAGGCACGGCGGCACGCCUGCCGAGUCGGGAUCCCCGGUCYUCUGGCCGGGGCGCACCGACGACCCGUCCCGUCCGGCUCGCCGGUGGGGCGGAGUGGGAGCGCACACGUUGGGACCCGAAAGAUGGUGAGCUAUGCCCGAACAGGACGAAGCCAGAGGAAACUCUGGUGGAGGUCC